GCCUCUUUUACCUAUGAUUCACAAUAACGUCUCAGGCUGAUGGAAUUUCCAUGUCAGCUUCUUUAUCAAUUGGAGAAAAUGCUGAUGUAGCUGCUGGAAAAAGAUAUUGGCAUAGAGGUGGAAGAUGAGAGGUGGAAGAAAAUCCCAUCAGGAACACAACAGCAAUGAAGUUCACAGCAGCUAGAACUUAAUCAGAAGUGUUUCCUGGUUGGAUUGGCUGACUGCAGCAUAAU
rnacentral:lncRNA from 1 species